GUUGCCCGCGCGGGGAGAUCUACAGCCAACGUAAUUGCAUUCGCGUAAUUCUUCUCAGAACGCAGCGGACGCGGGACGGACCGGCUCCGGAACGAGUGGCAUCGCACAUCAUUUAAUUCGUAAGUAUAAAACAUAAAUGUAACGUCAUAAUUCGUUUGAACGCGUAUGUCUCAAUACUUGUUCGAAUAAAGAUCCACGACGCGGUCAAGUUGUUGUGCGCCGCGUUAAUUGCGGUGCGCGAAGUUGGCCGCGCGGGAUAGGAGCCCUUUUCGCCAUACUAAUUGCGUUCCUCUCUCAUUUGCAGAACAUAUCGACCAAGAGUCGGAUUGAUACGGGGGAUGGAUGUCUAAUUAGUAAGUGGAACCUUUACCACCGCUACAUCAUAAUUAUUUGGUCAACUGAAAAUGUACGGCAAAAACGGUGCCGCGCCGAGCGCCGCGGCGUUACAUGUAUAUGCAAUACAAAUAUGCAGUGGCGCGCAUCGUCGUAUCGCCGCCGCGGCGCGGCGCGCGGCGUCACUUUUGGCGCGUGAAGUUGGCCGCGCGAGAAACGAAACCACUUCACGUUAAUUGCAUUCGCGUAUCUUUUCCAGAACGCAACGGACGCGGGACGGACCGGCGUCGGAACGAGUGGCAUCACACAUCAUUUAAUUGAGUGUGACAAUCGGUUCCGGGAUGGAUGUCGUCGCGAUGUCUAACUAAACGCGGCGAACGCGAGAUGGACCGGCUUCGGAACGAGUGGCAUCGCGCCUCAUUUAACUGAAAAUAGCAAACCCGAGACAGGUCAGUUCUGGAACGGAUAUGUCUACUGCGAUUGUUGUAUAUUCUACAACUAAUAUGCAUCGUGUGCAAACACUGACAAAUUAUGAGGAAGUGAUAAAAGUUUGGAAACUCAAAAAGCGAAGGAGAUCUAGAAAAGGGAUCAAGUAUCGGUGAGACAACUUUGCGAAUCAUCGUAGUUACGUGCUUGAUAACUCCAUUAAUUGUUACGCAUCGGUCGUAUUAUCGUGAAAAACCAGCAACCCUGAUGUUCUGAGAGGAGGUGGAGGUCUGGGAGAGGCAUCAGGCCCCAGCGGAGCAACGUUGAGUAUCAUCGCAGCUUCGUGGCUGAAUAACUCCGCUCGUUGCGCAUCGGAUCGGUAAGUUAAAAAUUAUUUUUCUUUAUUAGAAACAAGCGCGCGCUACGCAUCUGUUUUGUCUAGUUAUUUAAAUAUUAUAAAUAAAUAAAAAUAUUGUUCUACCUUGUAAGGACAGGGAAUAUCUUUACAAAAGUAUUUAUAAUAACGUACAUUAUAACUAAGUGUAUUUUAGAAAUAAUGCAUUAUUAUAUAAUAUAUAAUUAAAUUUUAUUAUAAAGUGCCACUU